AGUGAACGCUGGCGGUAGGCCUAAUACAUGCAAGUCGAACGCUAGCACAGUAAGAUUUCUCUUUCAGGGGUGGCGAGUGGCGGACGGGUGAGGCAUACAUCGGCUGCCACUUUUUCGUGGGGGACUACGUAGGGCAAUUUCCACUACUACCUCAUACUAGCUAUGGGAUAAUACCGGCUUAAUUGGGGCAUUUGCAGCAUUAACGGGCGGAUGUCGGUUUGGCUAGUUGGCGGGUGAAGGGCCCACCAAGCAGACGAACCGUACCUGGUCGAAGAGGAGGAUGAGCCACACGGGAACUGGGAAACGGCCCAGACUCCUAGGGGAGGCAGAAGUGGGGAAUAUUGGACAAUGGGGGCAAGCCUGAUCCAGCCAGACCGCGUGGGGGAAGAAGGCCUUCGGGUGGUAAAGCCCGUUUGUUGGGAAAGAAAAGCAGCAGGUUAAUACCCCGCUGUCCUGACGGUACCCAAAGAAUAAGCACCGGCUAACUUCGUG
rnacentral:rRNA from 1 species